UACCAUGCUGUACUAAAUUAAAAGUUUUGAGUGCAAGCCGUUUCCAAAAAAGUUUUAGGUUGAGUUAGCGAAUUCGGAUUUACAGUGCAUAAAACAAACAUA